rnacentral:tRNA from 1 species
GGAGUCGUAGCUCAGCUGGAUAGAGUACCUGACUACGAAUCAGGUGGUCGCAGGUUCGACUCCUGCCGGUUCCGCCA